rnacentral:rRNA from 1 species
CGGACCUCAGAUCAGACAAGACCACCCGCUGAGUUUAAGCAUAUCACUAAGCGGAGGAGAAGAAACUAACAAGGAUUUCCCUAGUAACGGCGAGCGAACCGG